GGUAAGGUGGCUGAGUAGGCGGUAAAUUGUAAAUUUACUUACGAGACGAUAAUCUCCCUUAUCA
rnacentral:tRNA from 1 species